rnacentral:lncRNA from 1 species
AGAACACCCUGCUGGCCAGUGUGUAAAUAUCUAAAGGAGGACUCAGAAAACACCGGGGAAGUCCAGCCUGCAUGUGGUGGCUGGGCUUCAGUGAAGCAUGGAGCACAACAGGAGUUGGCAGACCACAAAGAGCAUGUCUGGACCUAGAACCACAGCAUGUAACCUCGGAAGCAGUGAGACACCAGCCAGCAUGGACAAGCAGCAGGCACUUGAUCUAUACCAGGUGAGGGUGUGGAGACAUGACGUGGUGCAGGGACACCAGCACCCAGUCCUAGU